UUUUCACUUCGGGAGGAUCAGUUUUUGACUGACUGCCGACUUUAUGCCCGGCGAAUUAAUAAUUUCCUCUCGCAGCAACAAUGUCAGCCUGAGCGUGUCAGCAUCUCCCACUGCCCUUCCCCACUGCGUCCGCCCCCAGUGCGCACAAAGGGUCCACGCCGCCCACAGCGGGCUUCCUCCGUGCCUCCUCCUCCUCCUCAGCUGGGCUUCCAGCUGUGCAUAACUGUCAAACUCAGCCCAGCUGUGAUGGCUGCUGCCUUGGGAGUGUCCCAGCGGGGAGAGCUGGACUCGGCAUGCGAACUAAUGAUGCGAGUGCAGGAGGUGGCAGGGGAGCGCGCUGGGUGGCGGAGAGGGAAUGUGCAGCUCCAGGAAGGAGUGCUCGGGUUUGCAGCCUGUUUGGCAGAGAGCUUGGCAGAAUAUGAAAGCAAGUAUGCAAGCGAGUGCGCGAGCGCUCGCCUCCGUUCCAGCCUGGAGACUCAGGGCAGCCUGAGCACAAGCUGACCACUCCAGAUGGGAGCACAGGCUGCCCCUGCUGCUGCGAGUAGAAGAACAGUUUUUGCCUCAGUCCCCUAGCAGUAAAUCUCCAGGUGGGCAAUUGUUCCAGCUGACAGCCUGAAAGGCAAAGAAACAAGAUUUAACUUCCUGCUAUUCAAUUAGAGAAAGUGAGCAUUCAUCACCAGCUGCUGGCUGCUGGCAGGAACCGACCCACCCGCCGCGGCGCGCUCGGGAAACGUGCUUCGUGGCCGGAAAGCAGCCUGCUGCCACGGGCACGGAACGCUGCCACGCCGCCCGCCUGCCGGCGCUGCUCCGAAGGGACUCCCUGGGGACUCGGGGUAUCUUCCAAGCUGGUUGUGCUCAUCAGUGAUACAGCUGGAAUCCGGUUUGUGCUGCUGCACCAAGCCGCACGCACAUGUAUGUGUUCACAUGCCUACACGCACGCUGGCUGCUGGGCCAGACUGCGCAGCGCUGUCAUCUCCCUCUGCGAGACAGCAGGCACCCUGUCGAGCAGGAUGGAGCUGAGCGCGGCACCUUGCACGAACAUGGCUUAUUCUCCCAGAAGAAGGUAACAUGCUACAGCCAAGGUGAUCAACGGCAAUUAGCCCUUUUGGGAACUGCUUUAAAAUGCUGUGGAGGCUUUUCUGUGUGUGCUGAUUGCUCCUCUUCUGGUCCCUUGGAAGUGAUGCGAGUUGGACAUGCCAAACCCCUGGUCAUGUCUGGGCAAAAAUCGGUGCCUCGUGUCAUUUCCAUGAGGCUGAGAGGGCUUGGAGGGGGUGUCUGCAAAUGUCAAAGGCACUUAUGUACCCAUGCAGUGAUUGCACAUGCUGUCAUUACCUCUGCAAUGCCAUCUGGCCAGCAGUGAUGCAACGAGAACCAGGGCUGUGCAUAGAACAUUUUACAACAGAAAGCAAUUAACAGAAUAAAGCGCUUUUUAAAAUCCAGUAAUUAAAAACAGUCCCUCCUCCUUGUUUUCCUUUUAAGCUGAAAGUUGCUGUUUACUCAUUUGCUUUACAAAGUGUGCCUUGUUGUGGCUUCAGAAGAAAUGAAAGUUUGAAGUGGUUAGAGAAGAAAGGC